UACGGGGGGUGCGAGCGUUGUCCGGAAUCACUGGGCGUAAAGGGCGCGUAGGUGGCGUCGUAAGUCUGUGGUGAAAGCCCGGAGCUCAACUCCGGGUCGGCCGUCGAGACUCCUCGGCUCGAGCUCACUAGAGGCAGAUGGAAUUCCGGGUGUAGCGGUGGAAUGCGUAGAGAUCCGGAAGAACACCGGUGGCGAAGGCGGUCUGCUGGGGUGAGGCUGACGCUGAGGCGCGACAGCGUGGGGAGCAAACAGG
rnacentral:rRNA from 1 species